AUUAAAACAUGCUAGACUAUAAGUACAGUAUUUCUGACACAGGUUUUAAUAUAAUUAUUGAAUUAUCAUAAUUAUCAUCAUCAUUAUUAUUACUGGGUUUGUUUUUUUUUAGCCAGAGGUUGAAUUUUCCGGUUUUGAAGAAACCAGCUCUGAUGAACAAAUUUUCCAUGCCCUGAAUCUUUAAACAAUGAAUCUUCUGAUGACUUCAUUCCGGACUCUCAACAAAACAGUGAUAGUGAUGACAGUCUGUCUGUCAAGACACAGAAACUACCAUCUCAUAAGACCACACCAUCUGAGUCUUUUAAGAGGGCAAAGAGUGUUCCACAACUCACUCACUCUUCAUCCAUUGAGCAAGACAUGGUGAGUGAUAAAUCCAGCUCCACUCAAGAACUCUUUUGUGACUAUGUAGCCGGUAAUGAUCAUGAUACUACCACAAAAAACGCCGAGACGCUUCAGAGUUUUAAGAAGACACCAGUAAAAUCUUUUGAUAAACAGUCAACAAUUGACAAUAUGCCAAGCCCCAAAGAAUCCCCCCCAAAAAUGUUUUCCACCCAAAAAAUUACUGUUAUGUAUACAAAAAACCUCAGUCAAAAAUCGCCCGUCACUUUAAAAAGCAUCAAGACAGUGAGACAGAAAUUGCUGCCGCAUUCUUGCUCCCUAAACACUCCCAGGACCGAAGAAAGUUACUUGAGAAGCUACGGAACAGAGGCAACUAUGAACAUAAUCAAGAGGUUAUGGAAAAUAAAAGUGGACCACUGAAAAUUAGAAGAAGGCCAGGAAGAUCAGAGAUUAAACUGAGAGCCAAAACAUAUGUGCCCUGUGUGUACUGUAAAGGCCUGUUUGUUCGCAAGGAGCUGUGGCGCCAUACAUGGAGAUGUCCUUCAAAGAUGUCUUCAGAGUCUGAAGCAACUGGUAAAGCCAAAGUCUUAGUUUUGGCUGAUAUGUCAGAAUCAACUUUUUCCCAAGCAGUAUCUCCUGAGGUGUGGAAGAUCUUGGGAAAUAUGAAGAAUGAUGACAUUUCAUCUGUAGUUCGAAAUGAUUUUCUCAUACUCCAGUUGAGUCAGUGUCUUUACAACAAGUAUGGAAGUGAUCCAACAAAAUCCGAAUACAUCAGACAGAAGGUCCGGGAAAUGGGCAGACUCUUGCUAAGCUUAAGAAAAAAAUACUCCAUAUUUAGUUUUGAAGAUGCUGUGAAACCAAAUCAUUUUUACAAAGUCAUAGAGGCUGUGAAAGAUGUUGCUGGUUACGAUGAGAAGAGCCACUUGUAUAAGACACCAAGUCUUGCACUGAAGUUAGGACAUUCUCUCAACAAGAUUGGUGACAUUAUUCUUUGCAGGGCCAUCGCAGAAGAGAAUGAUGGUAUGACUGAAGCAGCAGAGCGAUUCAAAAGACUGUGCUCAAGUGAAUGGGCAGAACACAUCUCCCAUGCUGCUCUUGCUACUUUGAGCAAAUCAAAGUUCAACAAACCAUCUACUAUACCAUUCACACAGGAUGUGCAGCUUCUCCACCAAUACCUAGAGAAGAAAUCUGCUGAUGCUUUUGAGCCUAAAGCCUAAAACAUCAUGAGUCUUCACAAACAUAUGCAGAACUUGCCAAAGUGACACUUGUACAAGUAAUAGUCUUCAACAGACGUCGUGCAGGAGAGGUCUCUAAAAUGAUGCUUGAGUCUUUCAAGAAAAGAGACCAGACUGAACUCCAUGAGGACAUAGCUGUCGGUCUCUCUCCAUUUGAGCAAAAAAUGUCCAAGCAGUUCAGCAGAGUAGAAACAAUGGGCAAAAGAGGGAGAAAAGUUGCUAUUUUGUUAAACCCUGAACUUGUCAGAGCAAUACAACUUCUUGUAGACAAGAGAGAUGCAUGUGAAGUAGACAGGGACAACACCUUCCUGUUUGGAAGACCAAAGUGCUCAGCAACCAGCUUCUUUAGAGGACAAGACUGCAUCAGGUUGCCAGAUGCAACUAUAGAAAUUGCAAAAAUCUCAAAGCUGCUCCUGGCAAUGGAGAAAGGAACUCUCACAAGUUUCCAAGGAAAAUCUCUGGAUGAAAUUGAAAUUCAAGAUAUGCUUUUCUAUAGAUGAAAUAGAUGUGGAAUUAGAUGAGGAAGAAAUAAGUGAUGAAGAUGAUGAAGAUUCAGAUCCUGUCCAUGAAGGAAAAGAAAAAAUAAUCAGAAUGAAGCUGAGAGCUCCAGAGUGGCCAAAUCAUGGAGCCCAGAUGAAGUGAAUGCUGUCAUGAAGCAUUUCAAAAGUCAUAUUUUAAAGGGACACCUUGCAACAAAGGCAGAGUGUGAGCAGUGCAAGAGGGCAGAGGGCCCUGUUCUAAAAGAAAGAACGAUACAAAAUAUAAGGGAUUUUGUGAGGAACCGAGGUGUGCAGUUCAGGAAAUGUUCUUAGGCCAGGAUUAGUGUCGCCUUCCAUUAAUGCUUGUGGCUUUUGUUCAAGUUGUUGAUCCAGUGAUUUCACAAGAGAAAGAGUUCAAGACACCAUAUUUAUUUUUGUUAAAAUGCUGUUUUUACAGAAAUUUGCAAAUAAAUGUAUUUUAUUGGAGAAUACAGAAAUUUGGCUUCAUUUCCACUGGUACCAUGUUUUAAGGCACAUUCUUUGAUGCAACUUAUUCCCAUGAAGGUCAAUCUCAUUGUUGAGGAUUUUUUAAUUUAUACUUUAUAAUUAAAAAAAUCUUUAUUUCAUACUAUCUUUUUACCUUUUCGUUGGUCCUGUUUGAAGUGUACAACUUGCUGAUUUUUAAUCACUGAACUUUCUCCACCAAGGCUAAUUUAACGUAAUUUGCAUUUUGCACCAAAUGUAUACAUGUUGCAUGAUAUAGCAGCGGCUCCAUGUAGCACUGUCCUUAGGUGUGCAUGUUUCUUCUGCAGGUUUUUGUGGCAGCAAAAAGAUUGUGAAUUUACUUUUCACUUUAGAAGAUCUGAUUUGGUUUAGUACUGUAUUUAGUUUGACUUAGUAGUUCAAAUUCAACUUCUUUUAAACAUUUGAAACAACCUUUUGUUGUCAGAUUGCAAUCAGAUUGUCCUCAUAAUCAAGGGUUAGUUAGGCUUGUAUGUGUGUGUAUAUGAGUGAUGUCCAGUGAAACCCAGAUUGUCCUCAUAAUCAAGGGUUAGUUGGCUGUGUGUGUAUGAGUGAUGUCCAGUGAAACCCAGAUUGUCCUCAUAAUCAAGGGUUAGUUGGCUGUGUGUGUGUAUGUAUGAGUGAUGUCCAUGUAAACCCAGACUGUCCUCAUAAUCAAGGGUUAGUUGGCUGUGUGUGUAUGAGUGAUGUCCAUGUAAACCCAGAUUGUCCUCAUAAUCAAGGGUUAGUUGGCUGUGUGUGUGUAUGAGUGAUGUCCAGUGAAACCCAGAUUGUCCUCAUAAUCAAGGGUUAGUUGGCUGUGUGUGUAUGAGUGAUGUCCAGUGAAACCCAGAUUGUCCUCAUAAUCAAGGGUUAGUUGGCUGUGUGUGUAUAUGAGUGAUGUCCAGUGAAACCCAGAUUGUCCUCAUAAUCAAGGGUUAGUUGGCUGUGUGUGUGUAUGAGUGAUGUCCAGUGAAACCCAGAUUGUCCUCAUAAUCAAGGGUUAGUUGGCUGUGUGUGUAUAAGAUUAAAUGUCCAAAUUAGAACCCGCCUACUCCCGCCCACUCCCGCCCUGUCCUUACAGUCCUGUAGAAUGUCAGGUCAUCAUAUUUCUAGACUGUUUCACUAGAAUUGAAUUCUGAGCAGUCAGACUUUUACCCCAUGCCAUAAGGAGCAGUUUAAUAUUACCUACUAAUCACUAUGACAAAGGAUAUUGUGUGUCCCCAUAACUCAGUGUGGUACUUGUUACGGAAAAAAGUUCUGACAAACCACCUGUAUGUGCCUGUAUGUGUGUGUGUGUGUGUGUGUGUGUGUGUGUGUGUUUAGCCGUGUAAACCAUGGAAGUUAGUCUCCAAGUGUCGAGGAUGCCUGUUUAUUCCGGGAUGGUUGUUGACUUUAAAGAAACAUUAGAGCGCUGUAAGAUGUAACGAUACUUGAUACUUGAUUUGUGUCUCAGCUGAGAGGGAAAAAGAUACACAUGGUUUUAACCUCCCUCUCUCUCUCUCUCUCUCUCUCUCUCUCU